UGAUAGUGACCUUAACAUUUUAAAUGUG
rnacentral:piRNA from 1 species